UACGUAGGGUGCAAGCGUUAAUCGGAAUUACUGGGCGUAAAGCGUGCGCAGGCGGUUGUGCAAGACAGAUGUGAAAUCCCCGGGCUCAACCUGGGAAUUGCAUUUGUGACUGCACGGCUAGAGUGUGUCAGAGGGGGGGUAGAAUUCCACGUGUAGCAGUGAAAUGCGUAGAGAUGCGGAGGAACACCGAUGGCGAAGGCAGCCCCCCUGGGCUGACACUGACGCCUCAGGCACGAAAGCGUGGGGAGCAAACAGG
rnacentral:rRNA from 1 species